GAGGAUGCAGAACAGCGAUUUCUUGCGGGAGCUCGUGAUCACCAUCGCCAGGGAGGGCCUUGAGGACAAAUACAACUUGCAGCUGAAUCCGGAACAUCCGCUCGGAGCAGCGUCCUCGGAUCCAGGAGCUGGGGGACCUGUACACGCCCGCCCCCGGGAGAGCUGAGUCAGGGCCUGAAAAGCCUCACCUGAACCUGUGGCUGGAAGCCCCCGACCUCCUCUUGGCCGAAGUUGACCUCCCCAAACUGAUCAACUCUCAUGAGAGCAAGGCAGCCUUCCACCGGAAGAGAAAGCAAUUAAUGGUGGCCAUGCCGCUUCUGCCGGUGCCUUCUUGAUCAGGGUGUCUCCUUGUGCUUCUGAGAUGUGGAGAAGAGGCUGCUGGCUUCCCUAAAAGUUGAAAUAAAAGAUUUUUGCCUUU
rnacentral:lncRNA from 1 species